UUUUUUUUUUUUUUUUUUUUAAAGUAAUUAAAAUUGAUAAUAGUAAAAAUAAAUAACAAAAACAAUUUAAUUAACAUUGGAUGAAAAAUAAACUAGAAACAACAAAGUGCAAAUUCCAAUUCAUCAUCUUUUCAUUUUCCAUUUUUCCUUUUUUUCUUUAAAUAAUGAAACUAAAUCCUAAACAACUAAAACAUAUUUUUUUUGAACACUUUUCUUUUUCCUUUGAGAAAUUCUAGCUAAAAAUGGAUAAAAAUGACUAAAACUAAAAGUAAAUAAACUAAAUGUGACAAUUAAAAAUAGAACAAAUAAAAACGAAUAGUAAAUAAAUAAAUAAAUAAUAAAACACCAAAAAUUUGGUGUCUACAGUUUGCCCCUCUUUGUCUGAGUUUUGAAAAAACUUGAGACAAAGAAGUAGACACCAAAUACUUACCUGUGUUAUUUGGUUGCCCCUUUUCGGAGGACUGACCUAACAAGGAAUUUCAGACAUGGGACUGGCCCGAACAGAAUUGUAAACGGGAUAGACCCGGACAGAAAUUUAAAUGGGAUAGACCCACGGGAUAGACCCGGACAGAAAUUUAAAAUUGGGAUAGACCCACGGGAUAGACCCGGACAGAAAUGUAAAAUUGGGAUAGACCCACGGGAUAGACCCGGACAGAAAUUUAAAAUUGGAUUGUAUGAAGAAAACUGCAUAAGACUUUAUUUGAAAAUGUAUCCACAGAUUUGCCCCAGUAAUGAAUUGGUCAGUGGGAUUAAACCCGAACCUGCCAUGAUGAUCGACCAGUGGGAUAAUACCUGAUCCUGCCGAGGUUGGCGGGAUGAAACCCGGUCCCAACGAAAAAAGCGGUCAGCGGGAUUAUACCCGGUCCUGCCGAGAUUGGCGGUCAGCGGGAUAAAACCCGGUCCUGCCGAGGUAAGCGGUCAGCGGGAUAAAACCCGGUCCUGCCGAGGUAAGCGGUCAGCGGGAUAAAACCCGGUCCUGCCGAGAUAAGCGGUCAGCGGGAUAAAACCCGGUCCCAACGUGCUUUUGCGAAUGGUCAGUGGGAUAAAACCCAAUCCUGCCAUCCAAUUGGUCAAGAAAUUGAAUUGGAUUUGCCAAGAAACAAGCAAUUAAAUUUGAUUUUCCAAGAAACAAGAAUUUGAACUUGAUUUUUGACUUUUGACGUUUUGAAUUUUUCUGAUUUUUCGAGAGAAUCAUUUUUCAAAAAUAAUUUGCCCCAGUGUAGGGCCCUUUUCCCUUCUUUUCUCUUUCUUCGGCAUCGGCUUUCCACAUCACCAGAUGUUCUUUCGUUGAUUUCAACAAUGAAUACCUGCACAGGGGGCUUACCAAAAUAUGACAUGCAUUCACAUUUUCAUGAAAAGAGCAGCGUGAUUGAUUUGAAAGAUGCAUUAUUUGAUUCUUGGGCGAAAUCCUCAAUUGGACUAACAAAAAUAUUUGCCCCUGUGUGGGCUUGUUUUCACGAAAUCUCAUAACAAAAGUUUUGCCCCAGUAUGGGCCAUUUAAUUGCAAAAACUUGUCUGGAUGACUUUCCAUUUAUUUGAACAUUGUAAGAAACUAUGUUUCCUAAAAGAAAAUUUCAUGAUGAUUUUCUUGAAAUAAAAUCAGAUCACAGAAGAUUUCUUCCUCACCUUGGCAUUGGUGUUUUGGGUAAUGGGUCACAAUUUCCAGUUGGUUCAUCUUUCAGAACCGAUCAAGUGGGUGUUAUUUCUGAUUUGGAAAUGGGAGGUCAAGAUUUGUCUUAUCCAUGUGUACAGAUGGUAUGUAAUCCCUUCAAUACCAUAUCUUAGUGAAAGCAAAGAGUUUGUCACCCUCAUGUCUUAAGAAAACUUAGUCAACGUAUAAGCUUCAUGGGCUUGCAAAAUUUCGGGUAGAAAUGAUAGCUAAACAUGUAAAAAACUGGUUAUACCCUUAUGAUCACGAAUGAUUGACGGACUUCUUAUGAGCAUAUCCUUACUUUGGACUGUCAUGAAGGAAUAAGUCAACGAUGGACUUUAUUAGCUUGUAAUUUGGCUUGAAAACGAUAGCUAAAGAAUAAACUUCCAAGGACAUUGCACUGAAAAUCGUAUCUUCCAAAAACUGCCCCUAUUUUGAACUCAAAGAUCUCAGAAUUUGUUCGUAUUCUUUUCAUCAUUCACCAGGGAUUUCAGCGUCGAAUUUUUCUGCAUUUUCUUGCAUUUACUUUUCUUGCUUUGCUUUUUGCCUUUUCUUUUUCUGGUGGGUUUUCACAUGAUGAGUAGCGUCAACCCCAUACUCAGGCAAUUCAGAAAUACAGCUAAAAUUUUCAGCAUCAGAAAUUUUCUUGACAAGGCCAUUGCAAAGAACAGAAGUCAGGACUUUCGGCUUUGUAAUGGGGUCAGGUGGGGUGCUUAGAAAAGUUAAGGCUUGAAGGCAGGUUUCAAAAGCGGUUUAAGUAAUCUGAGAUCGCAUUGUUGUGGCAACCCUAUUUUAGGGUAAAAUCAGAAUUUGCCUCAGUUUUUGCUCAAUUGAGGCUUUUCACUUUCAUUUCCUUUUUCUUUUGACUUUUCGGCCUUUUGCCAUUCUUUUGAACUUUCACAAAAUUUUGCCUCCAGUUUAUUUUUGAACUGAAGUACUCUUUUCUUCUUUUGCUUUUGAUUUUGUUGCAUUUCACUUUUUCACUUCUUGAAACUUUCCUUUUUCAACCCAACGUGCCCCAGUGUGGGGUUUGCGAUUCUCAGGGGUUGCCAAAUGAAGUAUUUUAUUCUGAAGGCUCAAAAAGGAUAACUAGGGAUAGAAUGUUUGAUUGGAAAAAAAGAGGGCCUGACUUUUAUUCUGCCCUUACAAUGACUCUGAAAGGAAACUUUCAUUAAUGCGAAAUUUUUGGCAUGUAUUUGAAUUAACUGAUUGAGGAGGACCCUUGUUCAUCCAUAUGUGUGAAACAUAGGCGAUCCACGCGGACAAAACUCUUCCUUUUCUUUUUUCAAAAUUGGAACCCAAGUGGAAUCAAAUUUCCCCAACUUGCGGUUCUCUUUCCCCCUUUCUUUUCCCUUUUUUUUUCAAAAUUCCCCAAUCUCCUUCCCCAAUGUGGGGUGCGAUCAUAUAUGCACUCGAAAAAGAACCACCAAUUUUGCUCAAAUAGGGAUGCAAGGGAUGAUCAGUGUUUAGGUUGUAGAAACGACGGCCAAAGCGUCAUUCUUACACCUCAUGACAACCAAAGUAACGAAAUGGUCAUUAAGAAUCCAUUCCCCUUUUGAUAUUUGAAAAUUUUCCAAUGAAGGGUAGUGAUCAUUAGGGCUCUUAUUUGAAACGAAAUUAUUCUUUUAAAGGCUCAAAUGGGAGAGCAAAUGAUAAAAUGUGUAUAGGUAGAGAAACGAAUGCUCAAAGUAUCAUUCUAAAUUUUCAAAAUAAACAAGAAUGAUGCACAUUUUUGCUUUCACUUAGAUGUGAUUGAAUCGGAUUAGACACCGCGGAUAUUUUCAAGCAAAAGUUGCCCCAAUUUAUCAAUCAAUGUGACUGACUUUAUUUUGGGAUUAAGUGCAGGAGAAAAGGUAUCUCAUGGGCCUUCUGAAUGACCUCUUUCAAUUUUUGAGCACUCUUAUUGUGUAGCUCGGAUCACCAAUCUAGUGUAUACAUUUGUGAGUUUUCAGGCCAAAGGUUGAAAAAUCUCAAUUUGAGCUUAUUUCUUAAAAUUCACCAUGAAAUCUCUUAAUGAGCUCAAUAAAGAAUGAAAUGCACAUGAAUAUACACAAAACAAUAAUUGUCCAAAAAUUUUAUUGCUGAAAAAGUUUGAAACAAAAUUUCUCGUUCAAUUAUGAUACAAAUGAGAAUAGAAAGCUUCUAAAGAGCUCCACAUAUAUAUCCCUUUUGUCUCCUUCUCUUUUGACACAAAAAUAUAUUAACAAGUCAAAUACACAGAAUUUUCCUUGAAAGCAAUUAUGAAAUCUCUUAGAAGCUCUUAGCCUAGAGCUUUCAGAUGGAUCUUUCAUGUUUCCAUUGUUGGAUCUGCCCAAGAAUCAAACAAUACUUGCAAUUUUGACACUUUAUUAGAUCCAAAUUAUCAUCAGAUACAGAAAAAUAUUUUUGCCUUAUUGAAACAUUUUUAUGAAUGCAAGGGAAGGGAGAAAACAAAAGAAAGAAAAAACCAUGAGUUAGUAAACAAGAAUAUAAAAUCGGUAUGCAUGUCCUAUGGGGGAACCCUUUUAUGCCAAGGGUAGGCCUAGCAUGAAAAUGCAAUCCUCUAGAGCAGGCACUAUACAAUACCUGAUGGAUCCAAUCAGCUUAUGGAGUGAAAAAUAAUUUUGAAAAAAAUUGGCCCAUUGGAACGAGAAGAGACGUUUGUCAACAUGAGGACCUCGUCCGAAGGGAUUGAUCACUUUUGAUUGAUACAAGAACUUACAAAAACGCACGGGUUUGAUCUUGACGAACUUCCUAUUGAAGAGAUUGGAAUUCGUUUUGACAACUUUUCUCAGUGAAGCACGGGUCAAAACUCCAACUGAUCAAAUGGCUAGAUGCAAAGGAUGUUUUUCUCAAAAUCAACUAGGUUUUCCAUUUUGAAACUCGACAUUGAAACCCUAAUUGGUCAAAUGAAAUUGACAAUUUUAUUAAAAAUCGACUGGAUUACCCUAAAAAGGGAAACAGGUCAAAUGAAUUGAAUGAAAUUUAAUUUAUCCAAAAUUAAUCAGAUCACCCUAAAAAGGGUAAAUUGAUCAAAUAGAUUGAACGAAACUUGAUUUUUCCAAAAUCGGCUCGGUUGCCCGAAAAAUGGGUAAAUUGGCCAAAUGAAUGAAAUUGAAUUAGUGAUUUAUUCAAAAAUCGGCCGAAUGACCCUAAAAAGGGUAAAUUGGUCAAAUGAAUUGAUGAUUUAUUCAAAAAUCGACCAUGUGACCCUAAAAGGGUAAAUUGGUCAAAUGAAUUGAUGAUUUAUUGAAUGAAUUGGCAAAAUGGAUCGGUUGAAUUGUCCGGCCAUUGGUUAUUUCAAAAUUAUUGAGGUGCAUUGGUCUAUGACCUUCUAAAAAUCAAAUUUUGGCCUCAAUUUAUUUAUCGUCUCAAUAGGAGGAAUCAUUUGUGAAUUUCUUCAAAUUAAUGUCCUUCACGCAAGGGAUUUUUACCAAUUUUUGAUAAAAUGGCCAAAGAGUGAUUAUUAGAUGCUCAUAUUCCAAAGAUCACUCUAUGAAAAUGAUCGGAUCCUACCUUACCUUGUGCACUACCCCUUUGGAUGGUACAAAAUGUAAACGUGCAAGUCUCUUUGGAUUAAGUAUCCGAGACACAAGGUGGCUUAUUCCUAACACAGGAUCCCCUAAAUGGCAUUCCCUUUCUAGGGUUUAUGCGUGAUGCCAGUUUAUUAAAGCGAUAUAAAUAUGUGACAAAUAUGGCCUAAAGGAUAUAAAUAAUGCAACGGGGGAAAAGGUCUAAACAUGAAAUGUAUUUACUGAAAGGUAAGUGCAAAGACUGAAAUUUAGACAUGUGAGCUAUCUAGUGGAUGAGUCACUAAAAGAGUGCCAAAGAGGCCCCUUAUUGCUAUGGCACAUGAAUGCAGGCCAAGAAAACAAAAAAAAUGGUUAGUGCAGUUGAUAGUACACAUAACACAUUGUAACAACAAGAUAAAGCAAUCAAAGCAAUAAAAAGGAAAAAAAGGGUUGGACCCCUCCCCUCGUGAAUAGUGUCCCUAGCUUAGGAUAAGGCCGACUCUACCCUAGGCAAGCUAUCAUGGAUGCAUGAGGUUGGGGUUCACUAUGCAUCUAGACUCGAUGAGCUCAGGUCCCCGAGCCUUCAGACUUAGAAACCAAGGGUCACCAAUCCCAAGGUUCUUUGUCGGUGGCUCGAGCGAUUCCCCAAACACCGCUACGCACACAUCGUGUCACGGCUACGUGUUUGAGUGAAUCUAUCAAAACCUCAAUCUUCGACCAAAAGCUAAAGGCUAUCAACCAAUAGCUUUAAGCGGAAGAUUGAGUGACCCAUUGGAACAUGCUACACACACAUCGUGUCGUGAUCACAUGUCCAAGUGAGUCACCUAAUCCUAAUAGGGUGGAGUGGCGUGACAAGCCACUAAAGAAAAAUAAAAGGGAUAAAAGAAGUAAAGCGUAUGCUCGUAUGCUAGUGCUCGUUUGGAGGGGAAGGGUCAAGAACCAGCGCGAGGCUCUAGGGUGACCCAUACCUCCCAAAAUGCAAUGCAAGCGCGAGAUAACAAGUAAACACACAUCCAAUCAACCAAUCACACAUACGUGAGUGAGGGAAUAGUUGGAUACGCGCGCGAGGCAAAAAGGCCCUAAAAAUGGAAAAUGCAAGCCUAAUAUCCAAAUGCAAUGCAUAAAAAGGGUAGAAAAAGGAAACGAAUGGCUAAGUCAAAUGCUUGGACCCACUUAGGAAGUCCCCAGUGGAGUCGCCAACUGUCGCGCCCCACUUUUUGAAAUGUGUUGUGUGAAUGUGAGUGAUGCGUGUGCAAAAUGAAAAGUAAAAAGGCCAUGGGACUUUGGAAAGCGACGAUUUGGCCAAAUGAAAUUUUAAAAAGGGUUUUUUAAAUAUGAAAAUGGAGUCGCCACUUGGUAUAGAUUUGGGGUGUACCAAGUCACCCAAAAAGUAUUUUUAAAGACAAAGUAGUGAAAACCCUUUUUAAAACGACUCCUAGUCCACGUAAGCCAAAGAAAAAGGUUCGGGGGUCACGUUUGACAAAGGGGAAGGCAAGGAUAGAAUCCAAGGCACCCCUUUGACCUAGCCAAGGCUAGUUGCGCGACUCAAACCAAUUUUUCCUAAUUUUUCUACCCAAGGUAUGUAUCGCGUAUUGGAUAUGUCUAUAUGAAUGCGAAAACCUAGACCUAGGGGGACAUGGGGGAAAUUUCUCUUCAAAGGUUGAGUGGUGCCAAUCACAUUAAUUGUGAAGCCCAAUAAUGAUCCUUUUGGAGAGGUCACACCUAAACCUAAAUGACGUAAAAAAUGAGUGGAAUGCAUGCCAUGUGAAAGUGUGAGUUUGUGUGAAGUGGGAAGAUUGAUAAAAUACGAUACAAGUGGUGGUGUGCAAAUGUCUUUGAAUGCAAAUAUAUAUACUCCAAGUGCAAGUGGGCAAAAAAUGCAUGUAUGCAAUUUAAAGAAAAGUGCGAAAGUGUCGGUGUGCAAAUGAAGAUGAAAGUACUCGUGUGCGAGUGAAGAUAAGAGUGUUCGUGUGCAAAUAAAAGUGAUAAAAGGGUGCAUGUGUGCAAAUGAGACAAAAGUGAAAGUGUAAUGAUAGAGUGGAUUGAGAAUGCAUGAGCUUAGGGAAUUUAUGCAUAUUGGGUACGGGGAGGCCUAAAUCGUGACUCAAUUUGCCCUUUGAUAGAGGGAAUACAAGCGUGCUAAGGCUUAGAAAAAGCCACACUCGUCUAUAUCCCAUAUUUAAGGGGACUCUUCAGGCAAAUGUACCCUAACUAGCAUGAGAUGCAAAGAAUCCUAAAAUGAGGGAAAAGGGGCUCGAGGAGCAUGCCAAAUGAUAAAAUUAAGAAAAAUGCAUGACAUGUAGUGAACAUGCAAAUAUGCACUAACAAAAAGGGAUGGCCUAAUGAGCCACAACUAGCAUUGGACUAGUGUGGUGACGUACAUUCAUCCAUUCCAUUCAUUCAUGGUUAUGAAAGCAAGUAGACAUGCCAAAACGCUCGUAAACACGUAGCACGUAGCACUUAGCAUGCUCGACUAGAUGCAAGAGCCUACUAAAGCAAUUAAACAUGUAGCAACAAAAACAAGCAACCAAGGGGAAGGGGAAAUGGACCAGAUGCUCUACGAGCCCUAGCUAUUACAAGCCAAGAGGUGUACACAUACCCCAUGAAAACAUAAAGGGAAAGGGUGAAUGGACCAGAUGCUCUCCGAGCCCUAUCUAUUACAAGCCAAGAGGUGUACACAUACCCCAUGGAAGCAUAAAGGGGAAGGGGAAAUGGACCAGAUGCUCUCCGAGCCCUAUCUAUUACAAGCCAAGAGGUGUACACAUACCCCAUAAAACUUAAAUAAAAGUAAAAACAAGCAAAUGCAGGCAAGGAGGUAAGGAAAGCGGAGUAGGCAUGCAUAUUCACAUAACACGUAGGAGCACGUAAGGCUAAAUGUAGUGCAAAUGAGGGAUAGAGUGUACCUCCCUUGAAUUGACGCCCCAAUGAAGUGGAAUUAUUCAAUUACCCUCCAAAAUAAAAGAAAUGGUCAAGGUACCAAUUUAUUUGGGAAAAUUAAAGGAAAUAGGCAAUCACAAGCUCACUUGAUCGUAAAGUCCCUAAAGUCAUGACUUAAGCGCAAUUGAAACAAAGCAUGGUAAUUAAUUGAAGCAAACAAGCAAUGAGAUUGCACAAAUUAAAACUGCCAAGGACCAAAAUGAAGAGAUUAUUCAAUUGGUUGGGUCAUGGUGAAACUAAAGGGAACUUGGGGGGUUAAGGUGCAAUUUUUGAAAACAUUUUCCAUGCAAGUUCAUGCAACUGACGCAACUUGUUCUUUUCUGCAAAUUUUCCAGCCAACAUUUUCUGCAAUCUUUUCCAUUUAGCCUUACCAAACUUGAGUGCAACUUAACUCAAAACAAUCCAAUGGAUUCCACAACUCAACUUGAGUGCAAUAGAGUACCAUGAUCAUUUGCUAAGCCUCGAUCAAAUUUCCAAGAAGACAAACUCAAAAACAAGAUAAAGAAAACUGAAAACUUCCUACACGCAUGCUUUGUAGAAAGAAAAUAGCAGCUAUAAUCUCUCGCAGCCCAAAAUCUUUCAACAAUCUAUUCAACAAUCUCCAGGACUACACCAAAACACAAGGAAGGUAACUACUGGAGCAAAUGAACAAACAAGAGAAAGAUAAGCCACAAAUAUUGAAAACAUUUCUGCAUUCUUCAGUUGCAGCUUCAUGUAAAAACUCGGCAAAUAAUACUCAUAUACAGCUUUGGAACUACUGUAAUCAAAAGCAACGGGUAACAUGUCUUAAUCAAUGCAACUGGCGGGAGAAAACACAUAUAAGCUCCAUGCAAAUUUCGAACAGCUUUUGCAAUAAAACUUUCAACAAAAUCUGAAGCUUUCAACAAAGUCCUGCUGUAUAUUUACGGCACUAAAAUACACGGAUGAAUAACUCUAACAUGCACAAACCAUUGUUUAUUACCCCAAACACAGACAUUGCCAAACAUCAUUUUUGACAUUACUAAAACAUGGCAGCCUAUCUUUAGCCAACCCAACCGAGAACAAUAAAGAAAAUGCAGCAAAAGAAACUCAGUCGUGAAUCAUGCAUUGCCCAGAAUUCUCCAACCAGAUUGUGCACCAAGACAACCAAAAGAACAGUCAUGAACUCUAAUGAAACAUGUAAAUCCGUCAAUUAACUUCUCAUGGACUUUAUUUUCACAAUCCCAAAGCCAAACUUUAAACACAGAAAGGGCCAUAGUCAAGAAAACAUCUAGAAAUGAGCAUGAAGAAAACCCAUUAGCAAAAACUCAAGAUUCAUGUCUAACAAAUCGGAAUCUUCAUGAAAUGCGUAUAAAAAUAACAAAACGGGAAGCAAGGGUUACCUCCGUAUGUUCAUGGGGCCAAAGCAACGCGAGCAAUCUGAAGACAUGCGUUCGAACGAAAGGUUUGAAGCUGCAAAUGGCUGAGAUUUGCCUUUUCGGCGAAAAUUCUGCACUUUUCUUUCAGUCUUCCUCUUUUGCUUCUUGCACUGCCCGAAAUUCCUUCUCCAAGUUCCAGAUUUCAGCCGCAGCUCCCUUCUCGGUUUUCCUCAACUUUUUCCAGCUCUCUUCCUGGAUGUCGCUGUCAUGGUCGUGGUCUUCAUCAGGUUUGGUGAGGGCAGGAGCCGUGGUGUUGAGGACAUCGUCUUCAGCUUCAGCUUCGGCUUCUGCUAACCGCUGCAGUAAUUGACUCAGAGCGAGAAACAGCAGCUUGGGUGGUUGCGCCAGUUGGUGGCUUCUUCUGAGCAGUCGCUGCAGCUGUUGCGGCGGAGGAAGAGGUCGAUGACGAUGACGAUGACGAGGAGGCGAGAUUCGAGUUCAGACGGCUGUUUCCCUUUUCUGUUCGGGUGUUGCCUUCCCAAAACCCUUCUAAAACCUCUCUGUUUCCACUCUUCAGACCCUAGCCCAGAUUUCUCUCCCUUCUGAUUUCUAGCCGGCCGUCACUCUAUCCCCCUCUGUUUUUUUUCUCUUGCUUCACUUUCUAUCUUAAACCCUCGCUGUUACCUUCACCCUCAGUUUUUCUCCUUGCCCGUCAACUCUUUCUGUUUUGUUUUGCCUGAAACCCUUCAAUCUUUCUCCCUCUUUGCGGCUGUUUCCUCCCUGGUUUCUAUCCAAUGCUACGUCACUCUCUUUCUGUUUUGUUUUGCCUGAAACCCUUCCCCCAAAACUCCUCCUUUGUUUUUUCUUUUUGCUCUUCUUUUGCUCGAUGCCCUCUCUCCCGUUGCGGCUGCUGCUGCAUCUUCUAUUUAUAUGGGGCCACCCCAACCCUAAAACUCCCAUUGUCUCCUCUAAAAUUGCAGCCAAGGGCUGCCCGAGCCCUUACUUGCAAGCUGCGUAAAAACGCAGCUUGCCAUCGCGUAUUCCCUUUUUUUUUUUUUUUUUUUUAAAGUAAUUAAAAUUGAUAAUAGUAAAAAUAAAUAACAAAAACAAUUUAAUUAACAUUGGAUGAAAAAUAAACUAGAAACAACAAAGUGCAAAUUCCAAUUCAUCAUCUUUUCAUUUUCCAUUUUUCCUUUUUUUCUUUAAAUAAUGAAACUAAAACAUAUUUUUUUGAACACUUUUCUUUUUCCUUUGAGAAAUUCUAGCUAAAAAUGGAUAAAAAUGACUAAAACUAAAAGUAAAUAAACUAAAUGUGACAAUUAAAAAUAGAACAAAUAAAAACGAAUAGUAAAUAAAUAAAUAAAUAAUAAAACACCAAAAAUUUGGUGUCUACAGGGGAGCAACGUUGGUGCUCCAGAUCAUGUCACGAACUCACGAAAGUGGUGGAGACGUCGGCUCCAGGUAAAUAGUAGAGGAGACGUUGGUGUUCAGUACAAGACUCCCAAGAACUCAUUUAAGCCAAAUCAUUUCAUGGGCUCACAUGCCGGCACACAUGAUAUGCAAACGAGUAAAUAAUGCAAGAAACACUUCGCAAGUAACUUUGAAAAUAGUUUAGGGUCACUCACCUCCACGGCUCAGAAACCAUCCAUCAUAUAUCAUUACCUUGCCCGAGUUCAAGCCCUAAAUCACAAACUCAAAUGAAUCAUACAUUCUCAAAGUUCGGACAGCAUUUCCCCAUAAAUACUUCAUUUCCAACCUAUAAUAUAUUACCAAUCACACAUACGGUUAAUAAGCAAUAAAAUAUAUCCAAUUAGGCCACAAUAUCCUUCAAUCAAAGCUAAUUAAAAGCUUAUGAGCCACCAUUAGAAAAACCCCCAAUUAAACCCUAGAAACCGGAAAUCAUUCCCUCAAGCGUAAAUUUGGGCAGCAUGCUCUUUGUGUUUACCCAAUUGUCCAGCCAUUUUGGCUUCAUUAUUUUUUCUCAUUCAAACCCAAAGGUACACACACAACAAUCUAACUUCAAUAGCCGUUCAAUAGGCUCAAGACAAUACAAGAACUUAAAUCAACUAAUAACAAAUGCGGAAAUGAAGUUUACAAAAGACAGAUUUGACAGGUUUUUGCGGAAAGAACACAUCUGGGGCUACGCUUAUCAGAUUGGUGUGAAAAUUAUACCAUUUCGAAGCUAAGAUAAAGGGCUACAACUUUCAUGAAGAUCACUUGGUCAAAUUUCCAGUGUAACCUGGUCAAAUUCCCAAUUUACAGAGCUAACUUCCAACUAUACGGCUAAUUAACCGCACUGCACUAGAAUGGUCAUAUCUCAGGCUACCAAGGUCCGUUUAAGGUGUUCUUUGAGGCGUUUAAAAGCUAAGCCAGAGUACUAAAACUUUCAUGUUUUGGAAAAUGGCUAAAUCAGCACGGAUCCUAGUGAAUAAACAUGAUAAACUGGAUGAACUGACUAAAACGGAACACUGGAAACAUCCUAAAAUAGUGAGGGUAUUUUGGUCUUUUCACAGGUUACGUUGAUCCGAUUGAGCUGAAAUUUUGUAGGUAACCAUAAAAUAUCAUUCUCUACAACUUUCAUGUUUUGUGCCAAGCCUAAUUCGGCCUCUACCAUACACAAAUAAAACCGGGCAGAACAGAACAAGUUCUUUUCCAAUGAAACCCUAGGCUGAAAUUCCAUCAACCUUUGCCAAUCUAGGUUUUCAUCCAUAAAACUUCUAAGAUUCAGGUCAUCUAUCCAAUAAAAUACAAUAUAAGAGGUAGAAGAAGAGUUUCUUAGUUUAAUACCUUCAAACCUCAAGGAAAUACACAAAAACAAGGCUGCCCAUGCAACAAUCACUCCACCCAAAGCUUCCUUGUCACCAUAUUGCAAGUUUAAUCGGUUUAAUCUUUGUGGUUUCAACUCAAACAAGGUAUAAUCUAAGAUGGAACUUGAAGCUCUCCCUCUCUUUUUCUCCUCCCAAAUUCGUCCAUCAUGGAAGGCAAAGGAAGAAAAUGGUGAUUGACUUGAGUUGGAUAAGUUUUAAACUUAAUCUUGGUCAAGAUUGGCUUGGUGCUUGACAAGUGGCACAAAUCCAAGGGAAAGUCUAUCUAAUUGUCUCUCUUAAGUACUCAAAUAUCUAUUACUCCUCCAAUCAUCUCUUAACACCUUUUGUCACAUAAUUUCUUUUGCACAAAACUCAUUCUAGUCGUUAAAAUUUUACCGUACUAACCGUACUAGCGGGUCCCACGUUGAUAGUACACUUCAAACUUAACGUGAACUAACUUAUAUCAAAGAAAUGAUUUGAAAACUAUAUUCCCUUAUAAAAAUGUAUAAGAAAUUAAUAUAUUGAAGAAAGACACAAAAUUAUAGACAAGGAAACAAAAUAAUGUUUCGAAAAUAUAUAAAAAUUUUCGGGUUCUCGCACUCAUCCUUUCGGGGUGUCACAAACUCCCCUCCUUAAAAGAAUGUCGUCCUCGACAUUCCAUCUUGUACCAGUCAAGUCAAGACAUCCCGCAAGAAUCACUAAUAUUUCAAACCAAACCCACAGUCCAGCAUCUUAAACUUCAAGCCUAGGAUACACUACAGGAAUCUGAAGCCUAAACUCUGAUACCAUCUAUGACGGCCCCACCUCCCCCUAAGGCGAACCCAAGUGUUCGGCGGACCGCCUGCCCGGCUCUCGCCGGGACUCACUCACUACAAACCUCAAUUCAAUUACAAUAUAAAUCUAAAAUAUACAUCAAAUUCUCCAAUAAUUAUAUGUCAUAAGCGAAGCGUCCACGCUUCCGCUACGCCACUCUGAUCCUUGAUACCAGCUAUUAUACAGGAGAAAUUCCAAAUCUAAACUGUACAAAAUAUAGGCCAUCCAGUCACGUGAAUAAGUAUUACAAGUCCUUCCUUCGCCACGAGCCCUGUGGAGGGGAAUAAAAUAGUUUUGGGGUGAGCUAAAAGCUCAGUGAGUAACCAGCAAAAUCAGUAAGCAAAUAUAUUUCAAGAUAAUGCACUUCAAUGAUGUCAUGAAUCAAGGAUCAAAUGUACGUUUAUCGCUCUCGUGAGCCAAUGAAAUCAUUGCACUUAAACACCCAACGCUCAAAAAGAUUAUUUAACGAUAAACAAUAAGGGGGAGCAACGUUGGUGCUCCAGAUCAUGUCACGAACUCAUGAAAGUGGUGGAGACGUCGGCUCCAGGUAAAUAGUAGAGGAGACGUUGGUGUUCAGUACAAGAGUCCCCAAAAACUCAUUUAAGCCAAAUCAUUUCAUGGACUCACAUGCCGGCACACAUGAUAUGCAAACGAGUAAAUAAUGCAAGAAACCCUUCGCAAGUAACUUUGGAAACAGUUUAGGGUCACUCACCUCCACGGCUCAGAAACCAUCCAUCAUAUAUCAUUACCUUGCCCGAGUUCAAGCCCUAAAUCACAAACUCAAAGCAAUCAUACAUUCUCAAAGUUCGGACAGCAUUUCCCCAUAAAUACUUCAUUUCCAACCUAUAAUAUAUUACCAAUCACACAUACGGUUAAUAAGCAAUAAAAUAUAUCCAAUUAGGCCACAAUAUCCUUCAAUCAAAGCUAAUUAGAAGCUUAAGAGCCACCAUUAGAAAAACCCCCAAUUAAACCCUAGAAACCGGAAAUCAUUCCCUCAAGCGUAAAUUUGGGCAGCAUGCCCUUUGUGUUUACCCAAUUUUCCAGCUAUUUUGGCUUCAUUAUUUUUUCUCAUUCAAACCCAAAGGUACACACACAACAAUCUAACUUCAAUAGCCGUUCAAUAGGCUCAAGACAAUACAAGAACUUAAAUCAACUAAUAACAAAUGCGGAAAUGAAGUUUACAAAAGACAGAUUUGACAGGUUUUUGCGGAAAGAACACAUCUGGGGCUACGCUUAUCGGAUUGGUGUGAAAAUUAUACCAUUUCGAAGCUAAGAUAAAGGGAUACAACUUUCAUGAAGAUCACUUGGUCAAAUUUCCAGUGUAACCUGGUCAAAUUCUCAAUUUACAGAGCCAACUUCCAACUAUACGGCUAAUUAACCGUACUGCACUAGAAUGGUCAUAUCUCAGGCUACCAAGGUCCGUUUAAGGUGUUCUUUGAGGCGUUUAAAAGCUAAGCCAGAGUACUAAAACUUUCAUGUUUUGGAAAAUGGCUAAAUCAGCACGGAUCCUAGUGAAUAAACAUGAUAAACUGGAUGAACUGACUAAAACGGAACACUGGAAACAUCCUAAAACAGUGAGGGUAUUUUGGUCUUUUCACAGGCUACGUUGCUCCGAUUGAGUUGAAAUUUUGUAGGUAACCAUAAAAUAUCAUUCUCUAAAACUUUCAUGUUUUGUGCCAAGCCUAAUUCGGCCUCUACCAUACACAAAUAAAACCGGGCAGAACAGAAUAAGUUCUUUUCCAAUGAAACCCUAGGCUGAAAUUCCAUCAACCUUUGCCAAUCUAGGUUUUCAUCCAUAAAACUUCUAAGAUUCAAGUCAUCUAUCCAAUAAAAUACAAUAUAAGAGGUAGAAGAAGAGUUUCUUAGUUUAAUACCUUCAAACCUCAAGGAAAUACACAUAAACAAGGCUGCCCAUGCUACAAUCACUCCACCCAAAGCUUCCUUGUCACCGUAUUGCAAGUUUAAUCGGUUUAGUCUUUGUGGUUUCAACUCAAACAAGGUAUAAUCUAAGAUGGAACUUGAAGCUCUCCCUCUCUUUUUCUCCUCCCAAAUUCGUCCAUCAUGGAAGGCAAAGGAAGAAAAUAGUGAUUGACUUGAGUUGGAUAAGUUUUAAACUUAAUCUUGGUCAUGGUCUUGGUCAAGAUUGGCUUGGUGCUUGACAAGUGGCACAAAUCCAAGGGAAAGUCUAUCUAAUUGUCUCUCUUAAGCACUCAAAUAUCUAUUACUCCUCCAAUCAUCUCUUAACACCUUUUGUCACAUAAUUUCUUUUGCACAAAACUCCUUCUAGUCGUUAAAUUUUACCGCACUAACCGUACUAGCGGAUCCCACGUUAAUAGUAUACUUCAAACUUAACGUGAACUAACUUGUAUCAAGGAAAUGAUUUGAAAACUAUAUUCCCUUAUAAAAAUGUAUAAGAAAUUAAUAUAUUGAAGAAAGGCACAAAAUUAUAGACAAGGAAACAAAAUAAUGUCUCAAAAAUAUAUAAAAAUUUUCGGGUUCUCACACUCAUCCUUUUGGGGCGUCACAAGAACUUUUGUUGUUUUUUUUUCCUUUGUGUUAAUUAUGUUGUGAAACAAUAUGUAAUGUAAUUGCAUUUAUAGUUCAACUCUUAUAUUUUGCACAACCAAUUCUUGUGCCCUGAUGAAAUAGAUGCUGCUGGAACGAUUGAAGGAAAACCGAGAAUGCAAAACUGCCUUUACUCUACUUGGUCAAUCUAUCUUGAUCUGAUGUGCAGAGGUUCUUGAAUUUAUGAAAAGGGAAAGCUAUCUUCAUAUACUUCAUGUCCUUGGAGAGGUCGGAUUGCAUCUUUCUCUAAUAGUACAGCAGUAAGGGUAUUCUUGAAAUCUGUUUUAGUAUAUUAGCCAGCUUCUCUUCGUUGCUUAUUAAUUUCCCUCUAUUUAUUGCACUUUGCUUUUGGUUUAUGGUAAUUGAAUUUUCUUUUCCUCCCAUUCUCUCUGCGAUCAUGUCUUCUUGUUUAUUCUGCGAUUUUGUUAAAGUACUUCUGUUGUUCAAUCAUGUUAUUACCUUCCUUCUCUUUUCAAGGUCUCGACAAUCAUUCAAUUGGGGUCUUGAAUUUUUUUUUAUUUUUUUGCCUUAAAAUGCAUUUUUGUUGGCAUUCAAAUACAGAUUUUUACACUAGAGCAAAGUUUCAGAAGGCCCAGCUAGAGUUUCUAAGUUCAGAGAGAUCAUGGCAACAGUUUAUAGUCCACUUAUGUAUCAAAUUCAUGCUAGCUUGAUUGGUUGCUGAUUAAUUGGAAAAAUUCCCAAAGUUCUAUGGACGUAGUAAUUGACAGAGGAAUGUAAAAUUUUUUUUAUCUGAUAGGGUCUUUCACACUCUCAUGAGUUGAAGAUACCAUUCAGCAUCCUGUAGUUGAAGAUACUAUUAUAGAUGGUUUCUUAAAAAUGUUAAGUAUGUAUUCUUAUCUUCUUUAAGUUGCAUUGCACAUAGCUCCCAUUCAUACAUCCUGCCUCGGUCUAAAUCAUGUAAGUCAUCAUGAGUUAGACUUCUAAUUGGAUCACGUCGAAUGUCCCUUCAGUUCUUAUUGGAUCAGUUGUGCAUUUUACGAUAUUUAUACAGCGAGGUGUCUUGGUUCUUCUAAGGACACCUUUUACCCUGAUUUCUUUGCAGGUAAAUCUAGUUCAUGCUUUAAGGGACAAUUAUGAAGUGUGAUUUGCAUGUCAUUUGUCUGUUCUGCAUUUGCAUCCAAGUGUCUAAAUCUAUAAUCAGUGUCCUUUUUUAGUUGUUUUCUUGCUUAUGCUAAUUCCUGGCUAUACUGAUAGUUCAUAUAAGAAAUGAUUUGAUUUUCCAAAAGUACGAAUACACUUAUCAGAUAGAUGUUACGCAGCAAAAACUACAUAAAUGUUGUAAUUAUUCUUGAAUACAAGGUGGUAUGAGAGGAAGGGCAAUAUUGGGGAUUGGAUGACAAUGGAGACCUCCAAUCGUAUUGCAGGAUAGCAAAUUUUCAUAGGAGUUAGAUAAGCUGUCUUGCUAGGGUGGGUAGUGAAAGUACACUAGGAGAGAUAAACUGCAUAAUUUAUCCAUUAUUGAAUAUGUAGUGAUUCUCUAUAUAGCUUAAGGGACUGUUGAGAUUGUACUGCUUGUAAAUGCAAAUUAAGGUCUUCGCUAGUGCUGAAGGCUUCAAUCAAAAGCGAGAAGAUUACUGAUGAAAAGCGAGACAGGAGUAGGUUUCCUUUAAUUGUACUUGAAGGAAAUUAUAAGGCAACAAGAUUUCUAGAGGAUGAAAGUGUAAAAUCUUGCACUUCGAACUAGAAAUAUUGCAUGUGGAGCGAUAGACAAACUUAAACAGUAAUGUUAGUGGAAUAUCCCACGUUGAUAUUUCAAGGAUUUCCAACCAUAUAUAUAAGAUGUUGGGUCACUCCACUCAUUGCCAAUUGGUUUUGAAAUGGAAGUCCAAGUUUUUGAUCAUGGUAUCAAAGCUAGGCUUGGAUUUAUUUGUUACCGCGUUUAUAGGUUUUACUUGUGACUUGGUUCUUUACUAGUUUAAGUCCAUUCACCAAGUCACAUUUGCGGAGGGGGGUUAGUAGAAUAUCCCACAUUGCUAUUUCAAGGAUUUCUAGCCAUAUAUAUAAGAUGUUGGGCCACUCCACUCAAUUGGUUUUGAGAAGGAAAUCCGAGUUCAUUAAUGUUAGUUAUAUCUACAAAUAAAUGCUUCUUACUACAGUUAAGUGGCUAUUAGUGUUGAUCAGGUUUGCAUGAGCUGGCAUAAAAUGGUGUUGAAAAUUGAAGAAACAGAGCGUGUUUAAUUUGCUCAACGUAUGAUGCUUCUCUCCUCUCUCUCUCUCUCAAAAGUCAAGUUUAGUACUUUGAUGAAUUACGUUAUAAUCUGAAUCGCCCAUAAAAUGGUGUUGAAAAUUGAACAAACAGAGCGUGUUUAAUUUGCUCAACAGAUGAUGCUUUUCUCCUCUCUCUCUCUCUCUCUCUCUCUCAAAAGUGAAGUCUAGUACUUUGAUGAAUUACGUUAAUCUGAAUUGCCCGAAAAGUCAUAUUCUUGUGGCAAAAAUAGGGUUUCUCCAUUGUGAUUCAGAAAUGUUUUCUUAAAAUAAAAUUAAAAUGAGGGACAUAAGUGUCAAUAUGCAAGAACAGCCCUGCAUGUAUGGAUUAGGCCACGGAGGGACUGAUUUCUUUCCAGACCAUGAUUUAAUAUGAGUCUGAUAGCUCGGUUCACUAGAUUCACCUUUCCUGCCUUAGAACAAUACUAAUUUAGUCCAUAGUUUGUCUUUUAUUGUUUCAGUUAUUUUCUUUUUUCUUUUGGCCUUGUCCGUGUUAAAGGACUACUAGUUCUUCAAUUGAUCCUUUAAAUUUUCAAAACAUUGGUGAUAAAUUUAUUGACACACAGAGUUAUCAUGUUGACGUCAACGUGAUAACGUUUAUGUUCUUGUUGGCUAAAGAAAAAUACUUCACAUCAGAGAAUAUUGCAGACUCUAUGGAUGUUGAUGACUAAGAAUAUAUCAGAGAUGGUAACUUUGUGGAGUUCUACAUUCCUUCGUAGAUUGUACAUAACCAGAUACAAGUAAGGUGGUGUUUGGUUCGCACAUUGGUAUCGGAUUCGGAUUCGGAAUCGGAUAUCCUAAGUUUGGAAUGAGGUCAUUCAUUCCAAUACAUUUGUUUGGUUCAAGUACCUGGAAUGUGUAUCAUUACUAUAGUUGAUGUUUGGUUCAUCGACUCUUUCGGAAUGAAAUAUAAUAAAUAUAUUAUAAAUCUCAUCGUAAAUGAUAGUUACUGGCUCUUUGUAAAUGGGAUAUAAGAAAUUUUCACUAAUUAAAUAUAUUAGUAUAAAUGUAUUAGUAAAUUUAGUCUAACUAAUUAAUAAUUUCUAUUAGUCAACGUGUGCAAUUAUUAGUAUAAUUGAUAAUAUUAAUUAUAUUACAUAAAUUAAUAUACAUUAUAUAAUACAUAUAAAUAAUAAUAAUAUUAUUAUAAGUUUGUAACUAAUUAAAUUAAAUAUUAUAUAUAAUUAAAUAUAAAUAUAUAAAUGUUAUAAUAUAAAUAUAAAUAUAUAAUUAUAUAAUAUAUGCAAAUAUUAAUUAUACUAAUAUUUUAUCUAAAUAUAAUAUAUAUUACAUAUUAAAUAUAGUUAUUAUUACAUAUUAUUAUAUUUAAAAUAAUAAUUAUAAUUAUAAUUAUAUAACUUAUUAAUAUUACAUACACGUAUAUAUUAUAAUUAUAUGCACAUAUAAUGUACAUUUAUAAAUAUACAUAUAUAUUAUAAAUAUAAUAUUAUAUAAUAUUAAUAAAUUUAUAAUAUAUAUUAUAUAAGUAUAAUUAUAUUUAACUAAAUAAUUAUAAUAUAUAAUUAUAUAAUAUAAUAACAACAUUAUUAUAAGUUUGUAACUAAUUAAAUUAAAUAUUAAAAAUAUAAUUAAUUAUAAUUAUACAAAUGUUAUAAUAUAAAUAUAUAAUUAUAAUUAUAUAAUAUAUAAAUAUUAAUUGUACUAAUAUUUUAUAUAAAUACAAUGCAUAUUAAUAUUAGAUAUAGUUAUUAUGUUUAAAAUAAUAAAUACAAUUAUAAUUAUAUAAUUUAUUAAUAUUAUGUACAUGUAUAUAUUAUAAUUAUAUGCAAAUAUAAUAAGCAUUUAUAAAUAUACAUAUAUAUUAUAAAUAUAUUAUUAUAUAAUAUUAAUAAAUUUAUAAUAUAUAUUAUAUAAUUAUAAUUAUAUUUAAUUAAAUAAUUAUAAUAUAGAUUUAUAUAAUAUACUAGUAUUAUAAUAAUAUAUUAUAUAUAUGUAUAUAUUAUAAUAUGUACAUAUAUAUAAUAUAUAUAAAUAUUAAUUAUACUAAAUAAUAUGUAAUCGGUAAAAAAAUCUUGGAAUCACACUUGGGUUUUGGACAAAACCCACCCUUCUACUAAGGAAUGGAGAGACACCAAAUUUUUAGAAAUCAUUCCAAGAUUUCAAUUUUCAUUCCAGUGAACCAAAUACCAAUUAUAGAGUUCAUUCCAUUCCUUCAUUCUGAUACCCUUUUACCAAACGCCCCCUAAUUGAUGCUGUGCAUUCCCUAUGGCCGGUUUUUUAUAGGUAGCCUUGUAAAAUGCCUGGUUUGUGGCAACAAACCAAGUGCUACCUGGUCUUCUCCCUUGGUGGCAUAGCAAUUGAUUUUUUUUUUGGUAACCAAGAACAUACCCUGACUCGAACUCUUAGGACCCGAACCGGCACACCAAACUGGAGGAGUGCACCACGGCCCCACACAACGAUUUCGAGCGAGUCACGGGGGUUCAAGUUUAGGGUAAGAUUCGAAUUCAGGACCACAAGAGUCCUUAAGAGCCCGCUUACUGCUGGACCACCCCCGUGAGGGCCAUAGCAAUUGACUUUGAUGGAUCCCUUUUUAAGAAUUCGAAAGAGGUUGCUGCAGGAGUUUUGGUAAGGAAUGAUGCUGGGGCGUUUUAAAACUGGUUGUUUUAAAAGUUUGCCUAUGUAAUCAAUCCUCAGGCUAUGUUUUCAGACUCGGACCGGGUAUCGACUCGACCGAGCUCAGGGGUCAAUGAGUUUGACCGGGUUCGAUUGGGGUUGAACCGAAUGAUGUCAUAAAUAAAAAUUAUUUAAAAAUUAAAAUAUUGUAUAUAAAAUACCUAAAAAGUAUGUUAAUAUUAAUAAAGGUAUAUUCAUAUAUAUUUGAUGUUUCAAAUAACAAAAAAAUGCAAAGAAAUUAGAAUGAUCAAGUAGCAAUUUAUAUUAUUUAAUGAACAUUAACAAGUUUAGAAUUAAAAUCAUGGAUUUGAUUGAAAAAUAACAUCAAAUUUUAGGACAACAUUUAUAAAGUAUGAAAUAUUUGAGAUAUAUUAAUAAGUUUUAACAAUUUAGGAGUCAAAACAUAAUAUUGAAAAAGAUUGACCUUUUUUUUUAAAAAAAAUGCUCUUGUUGAACCGGUUUUCCAGGUCAAACUCGGGUUUUGUUCGAAUUUGACCGGAUUUUUAGUCCUCCGGUUUUGAAGAACAACUCGGACUGAACACUUAGCCGGUUUUCGGUUCGAUAGAUCGGACCGGCUGGUUCGGUCCGAGUUUAAAAUCGCAGUCCUCAGGUAGCUAAGAUAUUGGCUAAUAAAAUUUUCCUUGCCAGUAAGUAGUCGAAUUUUCCACUCACCUUUGAGGGUGAUGCUGCUUCUGUACCUCUGAUAAUCCGGGAUCCAAAUGCAGACUUAUUUGCUGCUGUGUGCUGAUUGAUGAUGCUUGCCAGCUGCUUAGUCCGAUUGCUAUUGAAUUAGUGUCUGUAGUGAUGUCACGAAACAAGGCUGCUCAAACAAUUUGGUAAGCAUGCUAAGUUGAAUUGUAGUACAUCACGGGGAGGCUCGGGGCGCCUUCACUUUUACGGUUAUCUUUUCUCGUUGAUGAUAUUUGCAUUUGGAUAGAAUAUUAUUUGAAAUAAUUAUUGUAGUAUUUUUGUGAUCUGAUGUAUUUGAGAUAAAAAAAAUGGUUAAGAAUAUAAAAAGAUACGUUGAAAAAUAUAUUUAUAAUGUAAAUGAAAUAUUAUUUACAAAAAUUUAGCUAUUUCUUUCAAAUAAAUCUACUACUGUCUUUUUUGGCUGGGAGGGGGGAGGGCGGGAUUAAGAAAAGAAGAAAAGAUAAAGACGUACCCUUUCCCAUGUUGAAAGUUUAUAAACAACGAUUCAAGAAUUCGAAGGAUACCAUUGUUCCCACUGUUAGAUGCAAAGCUAGCACCGAUGCCAGCACCAAUUUUUUUUUUUUAAACAUACGCAUAUCUCAAGGUUUAGAGUCAAGGUAUUACUCUUUCUUAUGAUAGGCUGCCAAUCCACUGAAAAUCAUAACAAUCCCACCAAGGAAAAAAUGAAAAAUAUAUACCUCCGAAAUUUCCCGAUCUUUUAUGGUCUUUUUAAAUUUCGAUCAUAAAAAAAUACACUGUUAUGGUCUUUUAUGGUCAUUUUUUAUGGACAUCUGUACGAGGGGAGAAAUGACGAAAGGUUAAGCAUCCAAACUACGUGAUGUAACUCUAUAUAACUUUUCAAAAGAAGAACUUCAUAUGCAUCUGUCCCAGAACAAAAAUGUAAACAAAAAAGCUUCACAUGCAUAUACCCGUGAACAAUGGUUUUAUUAGUACUAAAGGGAUAAGAGGGACAACUGUUCCUCAACAGAGCAGUCGACAUGACAAGAUAUCCGACAAGAAAAAGGGAUGAGAAUCAGACCAAGGCCUCG
rnacentral:lncRNA from 1 species